UACGGAGGAUGCAAGCGUUAUCCGGAAUUAUUGGGCGUAAAGCGUCCGUAGGUGGCCGUUCAAGUCUGCCGUUAAAGCCAGUGGCUUAACCACUGACAGGCGGUGGAAACUGAAUAGCUAGAGUGUGGUAGGGGUAGAGGGAAUUUCCAGUGGAGCGGUGAAAUGCGUAGAUAUUGGAAAGACCACCGAUGGCGAAGGCACUCUACUGGGCCAUUACUGACACUGAGAGACGAAAGCUAGGGGAGCAAAUGGG
rnacentral:rRNA from 1 species